AGAUCCCUUGAAGAACACAAGGUUGAUAGGUCGGGGGUGUAAGCAUGGUAACAUGUUCAGCUGACCGAUACUAAUAGAUCGAGGGCUUGGCCAA
rnacentral:rRNA from 1 species